GUGAAUCAUCGAAUUUUUGAACGCAUAUUGCACUCUCUGGUAUUCCGGAGAGUAUGCCUAUUUGAGGGUCAUUUGAAAUAAUAUAAAUUCCAAGAUUUCUCUGAAUUUAAAAUGUGUUGUCCAUUUUUUGUGGUCGCCUAAAAUCCAAGACAAGCUCAUUUGCUUGGGUUUCGUGAUACUUUCAGUUACCUCGUGACUUAACCAUGAUUCAUCGGGCGGUUUAUUAAUUUUACAAUAGAUACUAAAUUCCAGAGAUUUAUCUCAUGCGAAAUAGAAAUCUAAUCAUGAC
rnacentral:misc_RNA from 1 species